rnacentral:rRNA from 1 species
CCUACGGGUGGCAGCAGUAGGGAAUCUUCCACAAUGGGCGAAAGCCUGAUGGAGCAACGCCGCGUGGGUGAAGAAGGUCUUCGGAUCGUAAAACCCUGUUGUUAGAGAAGUAAGUGCGUGAGAGUAACUGUUCACGUUUCGACGGUAUCUAACCAGAAAGCCACGGCUAAUUCCGUGCCAGCAGCCGCGGUAAUACGUAGGUGGCAAGCGUUAUCCGGAUUUAUUGGGCGUAAAGGGAACGCAGGCGGUCUUUUAGGUCUGAUGUGAAAGCCUUCGGCUUAACCGGAGUAGUGCAUUGGAAACUGGGAGACGUGAGUGCAGAAGAGGAGAGUGGAACUCGAUGUGUAGCGGUGAAAUGCUUAGAUAUAUGGAAGAACACCAGUGGCGAAGGCAGCUCUCUGGGCUGUAACUGACGCUGAGGUUCGAAAGCGUGGGUAGCAAACAGGAUUAGAUACCCGAGUAGUC